UGGUGCAGUCACUGUAAACAUCUGAACCCUAAAUAUACACAGCUUGGAGAGAAGGUAUGAGGACAUUUGGACUAGAACUGAAUGCCAUCUACUUCCUGAUCAGUGUAUAACAUUCUUUAACAUCUAAUAUUUUAGCUGUCUGGUGAUUCUCACAUUGUCAUUGCCAAGAUGGAUGCCACCGCCAGUGAUCUUCCUCCAAAUUAUGAUGUAUAAGGCAUCCCAACAAAUUACUUUGCUCCUGCUGGACAAAAAGACCAACCAAGGUGUUAUGAGUGUGGACGUGAGGUCAGUGACUUCAUCAGCUACCUUAAGAAAGAAGCUACAAAUCCACUGGUCAAUGCCAAUCUAAGGUAUGAUCUGUCAAUUUGACUUGACAUAGAGAAAAGUCAGAACACAGAGUACCUGACAUACCUGAGUGUCGUUUUUUUGUUUGUUUUUGUUUUUUUCAUUUCUUUUUAAUAUCAAUCUCUCUCUCUCUCUCUCUCUCUCUCUCUCUCU